AUUGAACGCUGGCGGCAUGCCUUACACAUGCAAGUCGAACGGCAGCACGGGUGCUUGCACCUGGUGGCGAGUGGCGAACGGGUGAGUAAUAUAUCGGAACGUACCUUAUCGUGGGGGAUAACGCAGCGAAAGCUGCGCUAAUACCGCAUACGCCCUGAGGGGGAAAGCGGGGGACCGUAAGGCCUCGCGCGAUUAGAGCGGCCGAUAUCUGAUUAGCUUGUUGGUGGGGUAAAGCCACCAAGGCGACGAUCAGUAGCUGGUCUGAGAGGACGAUCAGCCACACUGGGACUGAGACACGGCCCAGACUCCUACGGGAGGCAGCAGUGGGGAAUUUUGGGACAAUGGGGGGCAACCCUGAUCCAGCCAUUCCGCGUGUGCGAUGAAGGCCUUCGGUUGUAAG
rnacentral:rRNA from 1 species